UGGGGAAUUUUGCACAAUGGGGGAAACCCUGAUGCAGCGACGCCGCGUGAUUUAGAAGGCCUUCGGGUUGUAAAAAUCUUUUCUAUGGGAAGAAAAUGACAGUACCAUAGGAAUAAGGACCGGCUAAUUACGUGCCAGCAGCCGCGGUAAUACGUAAGGUCCGAGCGCUGUCCGGAAUCAUUGGGCGUAAAGGGUACGUAGGCGGGUAAGCAAGUUAGAAGUGAAAUCCUGUAGCUCAACUACAGUAAGCUUUUAAAACUGCUCAUCUUGAGAUAUGGAAGGGAAAGAGGAAUUCCUAGUGUAGCGGUGAAAUGCGCAGGUAUUAGGAGGAAUACCGGUGGCGAAGGCGACUUUCUGGCCAUAAUCUGACGCUGAGGUACGAAAGCGUGGGUAGCAAACAGG
rnacentral:rRNA from 1 species